rnacentral:ncRNA from 1 species
CUACGUCCCUGCCCUUUGUACACACCGCUCGUCGCUCCUACCGAUUGAAUGAUCCGGUGAAAUAUUCGGAUCACGGCGACGUGGGCGGCUCGCUGCCUGCGACGUCGCGAGAAGUCCAUUGAACCUUAUCAUUUAUAGGAAGGAGAAGUCGUAACAAGGUUUCCGUAGGUGCACCUGCGGAAGGAUCAUUG